ensembl:snoRNA small nucleolar RNA SNORA5
UGCAGCUUUGUCAAAUUCAGUGCUCCCUUCUCAGUGGGUUGCACUGGCCAAAAUGGCUGCAACAGUGACUGUAGUUCAUGGGCCCCACGUUUCUUUACUAUGGACACUGGGGAUAAAUAUGUACUACAGACAAAA